AGCCCCGUGGUGUAGCGGCCAAGCAUGUCGGGCUCUGAACCCGUCGACGCCAGUUCGAAUCUGGCCGGGGCUA
rnacentral:tRNA from 1 species